rnacentral:rRNA from 1 species
GACGAACGCUGGCGGCAGGCCUAACACAUGCAAGUCGAGCGAGCGGCGGACGGGUGAGUAAUGUAUGGGGAUCUGCCCGAUAGAGGGGGAUAACUACUGGAAACGGGGGCUAAUACCGCAUACUAUCGGAUGAACCCAUAGGGGAUUAGCUAGUAGGUGGGGUAAAGGCUCACCUAGGCGACUAUCUCUAGCUGGUCUGAGAGGAUGAGCAGCCACACUGGAACUGAGACACGGCCCAGACUCCUACGGGAGGCAGCAGUGGGGAAUAUUGCACAAUGGGCGCAAGCCUGAUGCAGCCAUGCCGCGUGUAUGAAGAAGGCCUUAGGGUUGUAAAGCACUUUCAGCGGGGAGGCGUUACCCGCAGAAGAAGCACCGGCUAACUCCGUGCCAGCAGCCGCGGUAAUAC